AAAGUUACAAAAAAUUAUUCAAAUUUUUUAACAAAGCUGUUUUUGCUUUGUGCCAGCAAUCUUAUUUUUGCCCAUGGUAACAAUGCAUUUUAACAUUUGGUUACUGCCUGCAUUAUCUAAUUCAAGCUUUUUAAAAAGUUGAACAAGGAAAAGAUAUGGAAGCCGAAAGAACAUCCAAAAUAAAGGUACUGUCAAAGGGGCCCAAUUAAUGGCUCAAGUAGGCGAAGUGUGAUCUGAUUUGACCCAAGCCCAAAUGAUUCAACCCAAAUUCUCACACAGCUCCAUUAUACUUGAUCAGCAUAGAAGAAAAGCAGCAGAGGAGAAGAGAAAAUGGGGAGGAAGAAGGGAGUCCAGUUCGAUGAAGGAGCUCCGGAUGACUUCGACCCGAAUAAUCCUUAUAAGGACCCGGUGGCUUUCUUCGAGAUGAGGGAGCAUUUAGAGAGGGAAAAUGGGUCGACAUUGAAAAGGCGAAGAUACUCCGUGAAAAGCUGCGUUGGUGUUACCGUAUAGAGGGUCCAAAGGUUGAAGCUUUGGGAUUGGAAUGAUCAUUUUCUUUGGUCCAAUUUCUCAGGUUAUGGUGCAUCAUAGGAGAUGACAAAUGUCAGCAAAAGAAUUCAAAUAGGAUUGCUGAUUGAGGCUAUCUGAUUUCAAAUGACACUUUAGGAUGGAAAAACUUUGACAGGUUGGGUGUUACCACCAAAUAGAUGAAAGCGAGAGGCUGGAAUUCAAUUCGUAAUGCGUUAUGUUGAACCCCUCAAAGUUUUAAGGCAGCUUUUGCUCUAUGAUCUAGUGGCAGUGCCGUAGUGGUUGAGAUUUUUCUAUCUUUAAUUAGAUAUUUCGAAUUUAAACUUUUAAAUAAAGAUUUUUCCGGUGGAUAAUUUAUCUUUAUAAUAGAUUUACCCAACAUAAAUCUAGAUUAGUUGAAUCAGACAAUAUCAAAUAGCAAAUAGUUAAACAAAAGAAUUUUUUGUUAUACUUCCUUUUGCGUGUGCUUGUAAGUAUGUUCUUAAGUAAAUAAAAAAAAGAUUAACAAUAGAUUGAUAUUAAAUAAUCACAAAAUCCAAAAAAAAUUGAAAUUGUCUAUUCAUUAACGUCAAGUAGAGGGAGAUUUGCUCUUGAUACUACUGCUCGAAUAAUUGCUACUGAUUAACUUAUUAACAUAAUGUUAAGAAGAACAGAUAAGUCAGGAGACAAGAUGGUACCACAACGCCAUUGUAGUACUAAUAUUAUUCUUAUCUAACAAAGUUCUUUUGGCU